rnacentral:rRNA from 1 species
AUGAGUUGCAUCAGUUGGAACUGCCGGGGGCUUGGGAACCCCGAGGCAGUUCGAGAGCUUCGCAGCAUCGUGAAGCUAGAAGGUCCCUCUCUUGUCUUUGUUAUGGAAACGAAGAUAAGAGGUAAAAGAGUGGAGGAGUUGCAGCAUACUCUAGGUCUUGGAGGAUGCUUUGCGGUUGAUAGUGUUCGUUUAAGUGGUGGAGUCGGCCUUUUUUGGUCAAAAGAUGUAAAAGUUGAACUGAGGAAUUAUAGCACCUCUCACAUAGAUGUUUUGGUGCAGAAUAAAGAAAUCAACUCACCGGUGUGGCGGUUCACCAGUUUUUAUGGAGCGCCUAGAGCAACAGAUAGACACAAUAGCUGGCUCUCUUUGCGUACGUUGCAUGCUUUGCCACAUGAGGCAUGGCUUUGCAUGGGAGACUUCAACGAAACGUUGUACGCUUGUGAGCAUUUCAGCAGAUCGCUUCGACCUGAGGCAUAA